UACGAAGGGGGCGAGCGUUGUUCGGAUUUACUGGGCGUAAAGGGCGCGCAGGCGGCAGACCAAGUCAGGCGUGAAAGCCCCGGGCUUAACCUGGGAGGUGCGUCUGGGACUGGUAUGCUAGAGUUCGGCAGAGGAGACUGGAAUUCCUGGUGUAGCAGUGAAAUGCGCAGAUAUCAGGAGGAACACCGGUGGCGAAGGCGGGUCUCUGGGCCGAUACUGACGCUGAGGAGCGAAAGCGUGGGGAGCGAACAGG
rnacentral:rRNA from 1 species